AGCAGCCGCGGUAAUUCCAGCUCCAAUAGCGUAUAUUAAAGUUGUUGCAGUUAAAAAGCUCGUAGUUGAAUUUCGGGGUCAGUAGGUUGGUCAUGCCUCCGGUAUGUACUGGUCUCACUGAUUCCUCCUUCCUGAUGAGCCGUAAUGCCAUUAAUUUGGUGUUGCGGGGAAUCUGGACUGUUACUUUGAAAAAAUUAGAGUGUUUAAAGCAAGCUAACGCUUGAAUACAUUAGCAUGGAAUAAUGGAAUAGGACGUUCGAUCCUAUUUUGUUGGUUUCUAGGAUUGACGUAAUGAUUAAUAGGGAUAGUUGGGGGCAUUAGUAUUCAAUUGUCAGAGGUGAAAUUCUUGGAUUUAUUGAAGACUAACUACUGCGAAAGCAUUUGCCAAGGAUGUUUUCAUUAAUCAAGAACGAAAGUUAGGGGAUCGAAGACGAUCAGAUACCGUCGUAGUCUUAACCAUAAACUAUGCCGACUAGGGAUCGGAUGAUGUAAUUUUUAAUGACUCAUUCGGCGCC
rnacentral:rRNA from 1 species